rnacentral:rRNA from 1 species
AGCUCCAAUAGCGUAUAUUUUAGUUGUUGCAGUUAAAAAGCUCGUAGCCGUAUUUCUGGUGGGAGAAUGCAGUCCGACUUUAUGUCGGUACUCGCAUCCUCCGGCCAUCCUUGGGUCUAGCCAGUUUGGCAUUAAGUUGUCGAGCUGGGGAUGCCCAUCGUUUACUGUGAAAAAAUUAGAGUGUUCAAAGCAGACUUAUGUCGUUGAAUAUAUUAGCAUGGAAUAAUAAAAUAGGACAUCAGUGCUAUUGUGUUGGUUUGCGCACCGAUGUAAUGAUAAAUAGGAACAGUUGUGACUAUUCGUAUUCAUUUGUAAGAGGUGAAAUUCUUAGAUUAAAGGAAGACGAACUACUGCGAAAGCAUUUAGCAGGGAUGUUUUCA